rnacentral:rRNA from 1 species
UACGUAGGGCGCAAGCGUUGUUCGGAAUUACUGGGCGUAAGGGGCGCGUAGGCGGUGUGUCAAGUCAGGCGUGAAAGCCCCGGGCUCAACCUGGGAACCGCGCUUGAGACUGGCACGCUAGAGUUCGGGAGAGGAUGGUGGAAUUCCCAGUGUAGAGGUGAAAUUCGUAGAUAUUGGGAAGAACACCGGUGGCGAAGGCGGCUCUCUGGACCGAGACUGACGCUGAGGCGCGAAAGCGUGGGGAGCAAACAGG